rnacentral:rRNA from 1 species
UACGUAGGGACCAAGCGUUGUUCGGAUUUACUGGGCGUAAAGGGCGCGUAGGCGGCGUGACAAGUCACUUGUGAAAUCUCCGGGCUUAACCCGGAACGGCCAAGUGAUACUGUCGUGCUAGAGUGCAGAAGGGGCAAUCGGAAUUCUUGGUGUAGCGGUGAAAUGCGUAGAUAUCGUAAGGAAGACCAGUGGCGAAGGCGGGUCUCUGGACAGUUCCUGACGCUGAGGCACGAAGGCCAGGGGAGCAAACGGG